rnacentral:tRNA from 1 species
CUAAGGAGAAAGGCAUGAAAAUGCAAAACUCUUUCACUCAUCAUAUUCAGUUUUGAGAGACUUUUAGUUUCUCUAAAAAAUAGAAUCAUCUAAGUGUAAAUGGGCCUGUAGCUCAGUUGGUUAGAGCACACGCUUGAUAAGCGUGGGGUCGAUGGUUCAAGUCCAUUCAGGCCCACCAUUUAUAUUUGGGGCUUUAGCUCAGCUGGGAGAGCGCCUGCCUUGCACGCAGGAGGUCAGCGGUUCGAUCCCGCUAAGCUCCACCAAGUGGAAACUUGGUUUAAGAUCUUUGAAAAGUAGAUAAAUGUUGUCAAAAAGGAAAACAAGGU